GCUGCUACAGCACCGAAACGACGAGCGGCGACCGUGACGCGUGAUGGCACCACGGUCCAAGAACAUGAAACGAGGAAUAGUCUGGAACGAGGAAGUCGAAGACGCAUUCCGGGUUCAGCUGGCUGGCUUUCGCGAUGCCACCGAGUAUGAGCAUUUUCACGGUGGAGAUCUGCCGGAUCGCUGGCCCAACGGCUUGGUGAAAGUUCUGAAGCUGAAGAUCGGCUACUUCUACUGCUAUAACCGUAAUCGUGAGUGUGCCCACAAGGACAUCCACUGCACCAAGAUCUACAGCUACUAGGUGCACGAUGUACACAUGAGCUGCUUGUGAUCAGCCAUGCAUGACUUCUGCAUAUUGUCAACUGUGACCAUGAAGGUAACAGGUGAGAGUAGUCUUCCGCUCCAGCACUCUCCCGUUUAUAAAACGAAGUUCACUUUCGAACAUUUCCAGUACGUCGAGCAUGGCCGUCUCAAUUGCAAGCCCCUUCAGUGUAUGCAGGUCGACUGGAGUAGGGAUUAUGAAACAUGUGAAGGGCAGAUCUGAUGCCAGACUGACGUGUGCUCAGAUAGAGAGGCCUCACCUCACAUGAAUGUCCUCAUCGGUUACUCCAUGUUUCAUUGUAUACGCUGGUAGCGUCAUGCUAUUCUCGAGUGCAGUGCCUUUCUUGUAGCUCUACAGUAGCCAGCAUGUGUAUGAUAUUC